AGACUGAACAAGAGCUCCAGCAAAGACUUUCACUGUAGAUUGACUUGACCUGAGAUUAACUAGGGAAUCUUGAGAGUAAAGAUGAGCUCUGAAAAUUGUUUCAUAGCAGAGAACAGCUCUUUGCAUCCGGAGAGUGGACAAGAAAAUGAUGCCACCAGUCCCCAUUUUUCAACACGUCAUGAAGGGUCCUUCCAAGUUCCUGUCCUGUGUGCUAUAAUGAAUGUGGUCUUCAUCACCAUUUUAAUCAUAGCUCUCAUUGCUUUAUCAGUGGGCCAAUACAAUUGUCCAGGCCAAUACACAUUCUCAAUGCCAUCAGACAGCCAUGUUUCUUCAUGCUCUGAGGACUGGGUUGGCUACCAGAGGAAAUGCUACUUUAUUUCUACUGUGAAGAGGAGCUGGACUUCAGCCCAAAAUGCUUGCUCUGAACAUGGUGCUACUCUUGCUGUCAUUGAUUCUGAAAAGGACAUGGUAAGAAUAAAAAAAAGAUAAAAUAUUACUAUUUUAAUUCAUAUGGCUAAUCAGUGGUUUCCUUCUGUUUCUAAGUGGAGUAAACAAACAAACAAACAAACAUUGUACCUAUUUCAGAUGUAGGAAAAUGUCAUCCCAGAGAACCAUAUGAUCAGCCUGAGGUCAAAAUGAGGUUUAAUCUUUUAAGUUUGAUUUGAUUGCUUAGCUUCAAAGACCAGAAAUCCAAAUAUGCUGAUCCUAUAUAGAAUGAGUGCAUGGUCAGAUAAGCUGUCAUGCCUCAAGUUGCAGCUUUUGAGAAACAGGAUUUACUAUCUACUUCCCCAGAAGGGUGUUUAAUGUAACAACUCCUUUGUGCUUUCUUUAAGAACUUUCUAAAACGAUACACAGGUAGAGAGGAACACUGGGUUGGACUGAAAAAGGAACCUGGUCACCCAUGGAAGUGGUCAAAUGGCAAAGAAUUUAACAACUGGUAAGUCUCCAGAAGUCUC
rnacentral:sRNA from 1 species